UCUAUUCCAAAUACUUUCUAAUCAACUUAAUCAUCAUAAUAUCAAUUUAAAUUUAACAAUAUACUAAAUUAAAUAAAUAUAGAUAAACUUCUUUCAUUAUAAUUCAUAAACUUAUAAUACUAAUAUUAUCAACCGUUUAUAUUAAAACAUAGUAACCUUUAUACACAUCCUAUGUACAUGCCACAUUACCAAAAGAAAAUAUACAUCACCAAAAAGUUUGCUGAAGUCGGGUCUGGCUUUGGAUGCUGGUUCAGUACUUGACUUCUACAACCUGCGCACGGAAACAACCGUACGCUGAGUAUGCAUAUACUCAGUGGUAUCACUAUAAUUCAAUUUAUAAUUAAAUACAUUAAAUCACACACAUACUUUUUAUUACAAUUAUCACUACUAAUAAACAAUUCAAUCAUUUAAUAUUAUCAAUUAAUUAUAUAUAUAAGCAUCAUUCUUAUUUCUUUAUUUCAAAUUUCAAAUUUCAAAUUUCACCUUUCACAUACACUACACUAUAUCAUUCAAGAAGUAAACUUAUUUCAUUCACCCCUAUUAACUUGACUCGGACUCGACGGAUACACGGAUUCCAACCAAACACACCAAUAUACAGUAAUCAGUAACAGUAACAGUAUUCAACACACAAAGUGCUGAACCUGUAACAGUAACGGUAACAGUAUUCGACACACAAAGUGCCGAGUCAGUAACAGUAACAGUAACAAUAUUCGACACACAAAGUGCCAAAUCAGUAACAGUAACAGUAGUCGGCACAUAAGUGCCUGAUCAGUAAGCCGACAAAUACCCCGUACUCUUCCAUAUCCUAUGGUAUGCCAACUAUAUCCGACUAGCCCGACUAGUUAAUAGGGUAUUUAAUUCACUCUCCAGUACAAUUUCCAUUUUAGUUCAGUAUCAAUUAUAAAUUCCUUAUUUCAAUCAGUUUCACAGUAUUACAGUAAUUUAUUAUUCCAGUAAUUUCACAAUUCAAUGCAAUAUACAUAACAAUAUUCAGUAUUUUCACAAUUCACUCAGUACUCAAAACAAUAUCCAAUAUUCCAUAACUCAGUUCAGUAUUAGUUUCAAUUUCAAUACCACAUUAUAAACUAUGAUUUAUUAAACACUUACCUUAAAAUACUUACCACACAUCAUUAGUAAAUUAAACACUUAAUAAUAAUAAAAUUUGAAUUAUAAUGAUACAAACCGUAAUUCCCGUGUCUAUUCCUCGUCCACUUUUUCUUUUCCUUUCCUCGUGGAUGCCUCGGGUGCGAUAUUAGCUACGAAAAGAAAUUAAGAUAAUUUUCAUAAUCAUUAGCACAACACAAUUUACUUGCUGAAAUUUUUAUCUAACUUUUACUUUAAUUUCAAUUUAAUCCUAACUAAAUCUAUAUAUUUUUCUUUCUCAAUUCAUACCUUCUUGCUACUCAAUUUCUUGCCAAACUCAUAUGUAACUAUCUAAUUUUUAUCAUAUUUUCAUAAUUUCGAAUUUAUUUCAAUUUAAUCUCUAAAAUUAAAAACUUAUAGUUUAGUUUACAAUUCAAUCCUUUAUUCAAUUCCAAUCAAAAUUUCUAUCAAAUACAUCCCUAAUUUAACAAUUUAUUCAACAUGAACCAUGCUUAAUAAUCUAUAAACUUCCAAAACCUCAACUUAUUUUUAACAAAACUAACUUCUAAAACAUCUAAAUUAAAAGAAAAUGACUUGAUUGACUUACCAAAUUAAAUUCCAAGCUUUAAAAACCCUAUUUUCCCAUUUUCUUUCUUUUUCUUCUUUCUUUCCCC
rnacentral:lncRNA from 1 species